GCUCAAGGGAGUCUUCAGCUUCAAAGUAAGCAAGUUUGACACCAGCCUGGGGUACAAGAAGAGGAAGGGGAAAAAGAGAAGAGGAGGUAGAAAAGGAGAGAAGAGAAGAGAAGCUGCUGCUGGUCAGCGUGAGACAAGGAGCUUUCCAACACUUGGAGCAUGGUUAACUGCCCCAAAUAGUAUGACUCCAGGCUGAUGCUGAACAACUACAACUACUUCCUUUUAUGGAACUAGAUAUGAGUGUCUUACUAGGUUUUUAGGUGCCCAGAUCUAACCCAUCUCAUCAUCUCACUUGUUUUCAAUCUUGCUAUGUCUGCCACUCCCACCCCCUUCCUGAUAUUUGCAUGAGUGUCCUCAAAGAUGCAUGAGAAGUAGGGGCCAAUCUUCCUCUGUUGCUGUCCACCAUGUUUUUAAAAGGUUAUUUUUAUAUGUAUGCGUAUUUUGCCAACAUAUAUAUUGUAUACCACAUACCUGCUUGGUGCCCACAGAGGCCAGAAGAGGAAAUCAGAUCCCAAGACUAGAGUUACAAAACCUUGGGUCCCCUAGAAGAGCAAUCAGUGCUUUUAAUCAUUCCCAGCCUCUCUACCUUAUUUUUUUCAGAUGGCCUCUGGCUGAACUGGGAAUUGACCCUUUGUGCGAGGCUGGCUUGCCUGUCCCUGGGAUCUACCUGUGUCCACACACCAGCAAUGAAUGGGGUUACAGACAUUUAUCAUUUCAUCAGGUUUUUUAUACAGAUGCUGGGGGUUCAAACUCAGGUCCCUUAUGUUUUCAUAGCAAGCACAAUACCCACUAAUAGUUCUCCCUAGCCCUAUUUUUCAAGUAUGUUUGUCCAAGGUUUUGGGGUUUUUUUUUUGUUUGUUUUGUUUUGUUGUUUUUGUUUUUUUUUUUUUCCUCCCAAGACAAGGUUUCUCUGUGUAGCCCUGGCUGUCCUGGAACUUGCUUUGUAAUCCAGGCUAGCCUUGAACUCAAGAGCUUUGCCUGUCUCUGCUUCCCAAAUGCUGAGAUUAAAGGUGUGCACAAUCAGUACCACUCAGGCUCUUUGUCCAGAUUUUUUUUGAGACAGUUUUGAUAUGUGGUCCUAGCUAGGUUGGUCUCUGCAGAUGAUUCUCCAGUUCCCACUGGAGUGUUGCAAGAUUACAGGUUUGCCUCAACACUACCUCACACACCUGGCUUGUCCUUUUUUCUAUUGUGUUGGCUUCAAAUUUUUCAUCCUCCUUCAAUCUCUAGAGUGCUGGGAUUACAGACACCUGCCAUCACACCAAGCUUUUCCCUACUUCAGAGCUAGGCUUUGAAUGAACAGGAGUGCUUUCAGUGAUGCAGAUACAUGUAGAUACCUUUAACAACAACAACAACCAAACAAACAAACCUGGGCCUAUUGUAAUCAGCCAAGGACGUUUAGAAUGUUAAGAGGAGAGAGACUGUCCGAGUGUGUAAUGACUUGGUCCUCUGCAUGCAUGUGAACACAGGUGCAAGUGCACUCACAUGUCUACCCAGCGACACAGGAACAUGGACAUACAUACACAUAUAGACACCCCACAUACACAGAGAGAGAGACAGAGCAUUUUAAAAGGAAGCAGAUAAAUAUCUUUUUUACUUUUGAGAAAAGAAUUUCCCAAUAUGAAUAGUUAGAUGUAAAAUAGUUAACUAAGGAUAAAACUCAGAGCACUGGCCCAACCUGGUAUAAGCCCUGGGUGAAAUCCAACAUUG
rnacentral:lncRNA from 1 species